CAAGGGAUUGCGGGUGGAAAAGGUGCGGUUGUAGAGAGAAGAGAGGGCUCCGUUCUCUCUUUUCACCGCUAUUCUCGACUCAUCUCUAACACCAUCAAUUUCUCCCAGGAAUUUUUAUCAUUUUUUUUACAUUUCCUUCUCUAUCUUCAAGCUUUUUUUUUUGCUGUUAAUGCCAUAUAUUGUCAUUUAUGACAUGGGAUUUUUGUUGUUGUGAUUUUAUUUAAUUUUUUUUAUCGAAUUCCUGGUAGAUUCAUUGUGUUCUCGUCUGUUCAAGCGUCAUGGCUUCGAAGCGGAUUUUGAAGGAACUCAAGGAUCUGCAGAAGGAUCCACCCACUUCUUGCAGUGCAGGUCCUGAAGCAGAAGACAUGUUUCAUUGGCAAGCAACAAUUAUGGGGCCCUCCGAUAGCCCUUAUGCAGGAGGGGUAUUUUUGGUUAAUAUUCAUGUUCAUCCGGACUAUCCUUUCAAGCCUCCUAAGGUCGCGUUUAAGACCUAGGCCUUCCAUCCAAACAUCAACAGAAAUGGGAGCAUUUGCCUUGAUAUCCUAAAAGAACAAUGGAGCCCUGCAUUAACCAUU